AAGAAAGCAGGAAAGGGCGCAUGGCGGAUGCCUUGGCUCACGGAGGCGAUGAAGGACGUGAUAAGCUGCGAUAAGCCCCGGGGAGGUGCAAAUGACCUUUGAUCCGUGGAUUUCCGAAUGGGACAACCCGGCAGGCUGGAGGCCUGUCAUCACCGCAGGAGCGGUGAGGCGAACGGAGGGAACUGAAACAUCUUAGUACCUCCAGGAAGAGAAAAUAAACUAAUGAUUCCCCCAGUAGCGGCGAGCGGACGGGGAAGAGCCCAAACCUGUGGCGUAGCGAUGCGCCGCAGGGGUUGUAGGACCACGCUGUCGUACUCUGAUUGUGAGGAGAAUAUACUGGAAAGUAUAAUCAUAGAGGGUGAGAGUCCCGUAUCCGAAGCAUGAGGAGGCGUAGUGGCAUCCUGAGUAACGCGGAACACGUGGAAUUCUGCGCGAAUCCGCCGGGACCAUCCGGCAAGGCUAAAUACUCCCGUGAGACCGAUAGUGUACGAGUACCGUGAGGGAAAGGUGAAAAGCACUCCGACGAGGAGAGUGAAAGAGUUCCUGAAACCAUGCGCCUACAAGCGGUCGGAGCCGCGCGAGCGGUGACGGCGUGCCUUUUGCAUAAUGAACCUACGAGUUGCCAUGUCUGGCAAGGAUAAGCGUCAUGAGCCGCGUAUCCGCAGUGAAAGCGAGCCUGAACAGGGCGUCGAGUCAGACGGGGCAGACGCGAAACCAAGUGAUCUACACUUGCCCAGGCUGAAGUCCGGGUAACACCGGAUGGAGGGCCGCACGGAUAAGCGUUGAAAAGCUUCCCGAUGAGGCGAGUGUAGGAGUGAAAGGCCAAUCAAACUUGGAGAUAGCUCGUACUCCCCGAAAGGCAUUUAGGUGCCGCGUGCGGCGUUGUCCGCGAGAGGUAGAGCGACCGGUAGGUCGAGAGGGCUUCACCGCCUGUCGAGACCUGACGAACUCCGAAUGCUCUCGGAUCGGAGCCGUGCAGUAAGGGGGCGGGUGCUAAGGUCCGUCCCCGAGAGGAGAAGAAUCCAGACCGCCGUCUAAGGUCCCGGAAUUCUGCCUGAGUUAGUCUAACGAAGUCCGGUCCCCGUGACAGCUAGGAUGUUGGCUUGGAAGCAGCCAUUCAUUCAAAGAGUGCGUAACAGCUCACUAGUCGAGGGUCCGGGCGUGGAUAAUAAUCGGGUAUAAGGCAGAUAC
rnacentral:rRNA from 1 species